rnacentral:tRNA from 1 species
GAUGGCCGAGUGUUUAGGCGUUAGGCUGUAGUCCUAUUUUACAGGGGUUCGAUUCCUCUUCUUAUCG